rnacentral:rRNA from 1 species
AACGGACGCUGGCGGCAUGCCUAACACAUGCAAGUCGAACGAAGGCUUCGGCCUUAGUGGCGCACGGGUGCGUAACGCGUGGGAAUCUGCCCUUUGCUUCGGAAUAACAGUUGGAAAUGACUGCUAAUACCGGAUGAUGUCGCAAGGCCAAAGAUUUAUCGGCAAAGGAUGAGCCCGCGUAGGAUUAGCUAGUUGGUGGGGUAAAGGCCUACCAAGGCGACGAUCCUUAGCUGGUCUGAGAGGAUGAUCAGCCACACUGGGACUGAGACACGGCCCAGACUCCUACGGGAGGCAGCAGUGGGGAAUAUUGGACAAUGGGCGAAAGCCUGAUCCAGCAAUGCCGCGUGAGUGAUGAAGGCCUUAGGGUUGUAAAGCUCUUUUACCCGGGAUGAUAAUGACAGUACCGGGAGAAUAAGCUCCGGCUAACUCCGUG